UACGGAGGGUGCAAGCGUUAUCCGGAUUUACUGGGUUUAAAGGGUGCGUAGGUGGCAGGGUAAGUUUGAUGUGAAAUCUCCGGGCUUAACCCGGAAACUGCAUUGAAUACUAUCCUGCUCGAGGUUUGGAGGGGGGACUGGAAUUCUCGGUGUAGCAGUGAAAUGCGUAGAUAUCGAGAGGAACACCAGUGGCGAAGGCGAGUCCCUGGACAACACCUGACACUGAGGCACGAAAGCUAGGGGAGCAAACAGG
rnacentral:rRNA from 1 species